rnacentral:rRNA from 1 species
GACGAACGCUGGCGGCGUGCUUAACACAUGCAAGUCGAACGGAAAGGCCCUGCGUUUGUGGGGUGCUCGAGUGGCGAACGGGUGAGUAACACGUGAGUAACCUGCCCUUGACUGUGGGAUAACUUCAGGAGACUGCGGCUCAUACCGGGUAUGAGCUCCUGCUGCGUGUUGGGGGUUGGAGAGUUUCGGCGGUUGGGGCUGGACUCGCUGCUUCUCAGCUUGAUGGUGGGGUAGUGGCUUACCAAGGCUUUGACGGGUAGCCGGCCUGAGAGGGUGACCGGGCACAAUGGGACUGAGAUACGGCGCAGACUCCUAUGGGAGGCAGCAGUGGGGAAUAUUGCACAAUGGGCGGAAGCCUGAUGCAGCAACGCCGCGUGCGGGAUGACGGCCUUCGGGUUGUAAACCGCUUUCGCCUGUGACGAAGCGUGAGUGACGGUAAUGGGUAAAGAAGCACCGGCUAACUACGUG